rnacentral:rRNA from 1 species
CCUACGGGAGGCAGCAGUGAGGAAUAUUGGUCAAUGGGCGCGAGCCUGAUCCAGCCACGUCGCGUGAGGGAUGACGGUUUUACGGUUUGUAAACUCCUUUUGCCGGGGAGCAAGCGUGCGUUAGUGAACGCGCGUCGAGAGUACCCGGAGAAAAAGCAUCGGCUAACUCCGUGCCAGCAGCCGCGCUAAUACGGAGGAUGCGAGCGUUAUCCGGAUUUAUUGGGUGUAAAGGGAGCGUAGGCGGUAUGUCAAGUCAAGGGUGAAAUCCCCGCGCUCAACGUGGGAACUGCAUUUGAAACUGGCUAACUUGAGUGUGUGAGAGGAUAGUGGAAUUCCAGGUGUAGGGGUGAAAUGCGUAGAUAUAUGGAGGAACAUCAGUGGCGAAGGCGACUAUCUGGCACAUAACUGACGCUGAGGAGCGAAAGCGUGGGUAGCAAACAGGAUUAGAUACCCUAGUAGUC